UACGUAGGCAGCGAGCGUUGUUCGGAGUUACUGGGCGUAAAGGGUGUGUAGGCGGUUGUUUAAGUUUGGUGUGAAAUCUCCCGGCUUAACCGGGAGGGUGCGCCGAAUACUGAAUGACUAGAGUGCGGGAGAGGUGAGUGGAAUUCCCGGUGUAGCGGUGAAAUGCGCAGAUAUCGGGAGGAACACCUAUGGCGAAGGCAGCUCGCUGGGACGUUACUGACGCUGAGACGCGAAAGCGUGGGGAGCAAACAGG
rnacentral:rRNA from 1 species